GGAGGGUCAUUGGAAACUGGGGAACUUGAGUGCAGAAGAGGAGAGUGGAAUUCCACGUGUAGCGGUGAAAUGCGAUAGAGAUGUGGAGGAACACCAGUGGCGAAGGCGACUCUCUGGUCUGUAACUGACGCUGAGGAGCGAAAGCGUGGGGAGCGAACAGGAUUAGAUACCCUGGUAGUCCACGCCGUAAACGAUGAGUGCUAAGUGUUAGGGGGUUUCCGCCCCUUAGUGCUGCAGCUAACGCAUUAAGCACUCCGCCUGGGGAGUACGGUCGCAAGACUGAAACUCAAAGGAAUUGACGGGGGCCCGCACAAGCGGUGGAGCAUGUGGUUUAAUUCGAAGCAACGCGAAGAACCUUACCAGGUCUUGACAUCCUCUGACAAUCCUAGAGAUAGGACGUCCCCUUCGGGGGCAGAGUGACAGGUGGUGCAUGGUUGUCGUCAGCUCGUGUCGUGAGAUGUUGGGUUAAGUCCCGCAACGAGCGCAACCCUUGAUCUUAGUUGCCAGCAUUCAGUUGGGCACUCUAAGGUGACUGCCGGUGACAAACCGGAGGAAGGUGGGGAUGACGUCAAAUCAUCAUGCCCCUUAUGACCUGGGCUACACACGUGCUACAAUGGACAGAACAAAGGGCAGCGAAACCGCGAGGUUAAGCCAAUCCCACAAAUCUGUUCUCAGUUCGGAUCGCAGUCUGCAACUCGACUGCGUGAAGCUGGAAUCGCUAGUAAUCGCGGAUCAGCAUG
rnacentral:rRNA from 1 species